CUGGCCUCUUUUUUUUUUUUUUUCCUUUAAAUGUAAAGGUUGACCAAGUGAGACUCACAGGAACAGGGGACACACAGAUUGUGAGGGACAGGUGUAAACCAGAAACUGCUGGGAGCUUUCAGUGCUGGAGUAAGAGAAUGAGGAAGGUCAGCUGGAAGUCUGUGGGACCUCCUUUGAUCAUGGCACAAAAGAUUUAAUAGAAGAUGGAAGUAAAAAAAAGAGACAGCGAGAAAGAGACUAAAUGAAGAUUUUAGUGAAAUUUUGUCUCCCAAAUUCCAUUUGAAAGUACUGAUUGGAGACACAAGAACAAGCAGCAAUAAAUGCCCAGAAUGUUCUAGAUGUGGCUGAUAGAAUGAAGUCAUCAGAGCCAGAGAGCUACUCAGGAGCUCUGAAGGAAGUAUUUCCAAAAAUGUGUAAGAAGCCAUAGUCAACGCGUGACUUCAGAUCGCCAAGUAAGCAUCUCAUCUGCGUGAAUAUCUUCAAAAAAUGUACCAACAAAACAGAAGCUUCACGUAUUUAACAGAACCAUGCCCUGGACCACUGCCUUCUUCAGACUUCCUGAGACCAACAUUACAGAUCACUGUUUGACCCUAUUCUGCCCUGACAUCAUUUCAUCAUCAAAGAACACCUGUGCUUUUGUGAUAUGUUUAUGUUCUAAUCUGGUCCUCAAAUUUUUGGGACCACAAGAUGCAUUUUAUCUGUUUACUCUGUAUGAUCCAAUGGUUAUAAAUUGAUUCGCACUAAUUAAACCCACAAAAGGCUGAUU